GCGGCGAACGGGUGAGUAACACGUGGGCAACCUGCCCCAGACUCUGGGAUAACUCCGGGAAACCGGGGCUAAUACCGGAUACUCCCUCGGGAUCACAUGAUCCUGCGGGGAAAGCUCCGGCGGUCUGGGAUGGGCCCGCGGCCUAUCAGCUUGUUGGUGGGGUAACGGCCCACCAAGGCUUCGACGGGUAGUUGGCGUGAGAGCGUGGCCAACCACACUGGGACUGAGACACGGCCCAGACUCCUACGGGAGGCAGCAGUGGGGAAUAUUGCGCAAUGGGCGAAAGCCUGACGCAGCGACACCGCGUGCGGGAUGAAGGCCUUAGGGUCGUAAACCGCUUUCGGCAGGGACGAAGCGAAAGUGACGGUACCUGCAGAAGAAGGUCCGGCUAACUACGUGCCAGCAGCCGCGGUAAGACGUAGGGACCGAGCGUUGUCCGGAUUCAUUGGGCGUAAAGCGCGCGCAGGCGGCUUCGUAGGUCGGGUGUGAAAACCAGAGGCUCAACCCCUGGCCUGCACCCGAAACCACGUCGCUAGAGGCAGGUAGGGGAGAUCGGAAUUCCUGGUGUAGCGGUGAAAUGCGCAGAUAUCACGAGGAACACCGGUGGCGAAAGGCGGAUCUCUGGGCCUGUCCUGACGCUGAGGUGCGAAAGCUAGGGGAGCGAACAGGAUUAGAUACCCUGGUAGUCCUAGCCGUAAACGUUGGAUGCUAGUGCGGGCGGAUAUUGACCCCGUCCGUGCCGGAGCUACGCAUUAAGCAUCCCGCUGGGAG
rnacentral:rRNA from 1 species